UCGGUUAUUUGUUUUAUUUAUAUAAAAAGUCUAUUUUUUAAAAUGAAAAAAAAAAUAUAUAAAAGUGAGUGUAAAGUGUAAAUGUUGUCUGCUGGUUAGGGGACUGCUUGAUGACUUUCUUUACCAUGAUGUAGAUGAAGCCGAUGAGGAUGGUGGUGAUGAUGGAAAUAACUAGCAAAUGGUGGUUCAUUCAGUUAUGAGUAAAAGUUGAAAAAUCGUCCACGGACGGAGGUGAAGGAACAGCUGCAGGUUCAUCUGUUGGAGUCCUGAGCUCAAGAUACCACGUCAUUUCUACUCUGACUGCAGGAGACCAUUCAGGAGCGUCCAGCUGGAGCGGCCCAAAGAAAAAAACAGAGAGAGGAGUGAAAAGAGACGCGACCCGAGCGCACAAUGCCAACGCUCCUCCAAAUAGGCAGCCUUUUCACUGAGUGCACUUCAACACACAAAAAGAGUAAAAAAAGAGACUGUCUAAACCAGGGGGACAGAAAGAAGGAAAGAAAGAAGGUAAGAAUGAAGGGUGCGUCACCAGAAUUCAGAGCAAGCAAUAACAGUCCAUACUCAACGAUGUAUACACUGAGCUUCAGAGGAUUGAGGCUGCACCUGAGGCUGACUAGAAUACAGGGUAAACUCCUUGAAAAACAUUUCUUCAAGAAAGUAACAUAUGGAAUUACUUGGAGUUCAUUCAGCAGAGGAGUGGAGUGAGUCCUGCCAGAGUAAACCACUGAACAUCUGAACUUUAAAGCCUGGAGUCAGACUGACUGUUCCUCAUUACGCAAAUAAUUCGCACUAGGAUUUACAAUGCUCUUGAAACACGAACACAUUCAUAGAUUUUAUUCACCAGAUAACAGGAGCUAAAAAUACCAGUUCCGGCUUUUAACCAGCUCAAAAUGUGAACUGUUUGUUUUCAUUCCAGUCUUUUAAUAAUCAGUUGAGAGGAAAGAUUCUGUGAUCAUCAGUUUUAUUCAUGUAUCUCCAAUAAGCAUUUAAUCCUAAUCAGAUAAACACUGUUUAUCUCAACACAAGACCUUUACACAAAUAUUGAGGUAUUUAUAUCAUAGUACAAUAACAAUACAUUGAAACACAAAUGCAGGACUUAUAAAAUAA